rnacentral:tRNA from 1 species
GCCCGAUUGAUUCUCAGUGGUCUGGGGUGCAGGCUUCAAAUCUGUAGCUGUCUAGUGACAGAGUGGUUCAAUUCUGGGGCCCUGGUG